rnacentral:rRNA from 1 species
GACGAACGCUGGCGGCGUGCUUAACACAUGCAAGUCGAACGAUGAAGAAAAGAAUCGAAGCUUCGGCAGAAAUUCAUUUCGGAUUAGUGGCAGACGGGUGAGUAACACGUGAGCAACCUACCUCUUACAAAGGGAUAGCCUCGGGAAACCGGGAUUAAUACCAUAUAACAUUGCGACGAAGCAUUUCGAUGCAAUCAAAGCUACGGCGGUAAGAGAUGGGCUCGCGUCCCAUUAACCGGAUGGUGAGGUAACGGCUCACCAUAGUGACGAUGGGUAACCGGCCUGAGAGGGUGAACGGUCACACUGGAACUGAGACACGGUCCAGACUCCUACGGGAGGCAGCAGUGGGGAAUAUUGCACAAUGGAGGGAACUCUGAUGCAGCGACGCCGCGUGAGUGAUGAAGGAAUUCGUUUCGUAAAACUCUGUUCUAUGGGAAGAAAAGGACUGUACCAUAGGAGAAAGCUCCGGCUAAAUACGUG